GACGAACCGUGCGAACGUUGUUCGGAUUCACUGGGCUUAAAGGGCGCGUAGGCGGCUCGCCAAGUCAGGGGUGAAAUCGUUCGGCCCAACCGGACAAGGGCCCCUGAUACUGGCGAGCUCGAGGGGGGUAGGGGCAUGCGGAACUUCCGGUGGAGCGGUGAAAUGCGUAGAUAUCGGAAGGAACGCCGGUGGCGAAAGCGGCGUGCUGGACCCCUCCUGACGCUGAGGCGCGAAAGCCAGGGGAGCAAACGGG
rnacentral:rRNA from 1 species